GCCAGCUCCCCAACAGUUUUAUAUGGACUCUUGAGAACUGCCUCUGUGGCCAGAACCUCUACCAUCAGAGUGUCUUCCUUUACAUCACCGCCCAGUCCUAUUCAACUUUCAAAUGCUUCUGAGAAAGAUCAACCGUUGAUUUCUCUGUACAGUAGUACUUUCCAAUGUGCAAAUCAUCUGAGAGUGAGAGAACAAUUUGCUCAAGGUUCAAGACAAUCUCUAUACUUUAUUGGAUAUAUGAUUUGGAUUUAACUUCAGUCUGUC
rnacentral:lncRNA from 1 species